UGAGAGCUCCUGCGACUGUUCCAACCCAGAGGCUUGGCAUUGGCUUUGUUUCCUCGGAAAAGAACAAAAUACAGGGUGUGGCAUGCAGGCUCCUGAGGGUGGGGCAGGCUGUGUCACCCAGGGUGCAUUUUUUUCUUUUCCUGUCCUGUGGCUGCUGGGAGAGCAGCUACUUCCUCUCAGGAAAAAUGGCCAUUUCGGUUUGGGGGCCGAUGAGCAAAUGUUCCUGGCUGCUGUAUUUCCAGGUCUCCCUGCAGUGCUUCCACCGCAGCAUCUCCUUAGGCGCCUCCCUCCCUGCACCAAAGCCUUGGUGAUUUUUAAUGACCAUCAAUCUUCAGUCCUGGCUCUGUCCAGCCCUAAAGUGUUGGCUUGUCUGAAGUUACACCACCUCUGAUCAAGCCCUGGCUUCCUGGCUUACCAGCUGAGAAUGGUCCCCAAACUCUCCAAGCUUCCAUCUAUUCAUCUGAGAAAUGGGGAUUAGGAUUAUGAUGAUGAUCAAAUGCCAUAAUCCAAAGCAGAGUGAGUGAACCAUACAUUCUGCACUGUCUACAGUAACAGAAGAAACUGCUGGAAGAAUAAUGGCCAAUGUCUCACUAAGAACCCUUAAAAACAGCCACUACCAAUUUAUUCACUGAAAGCUCUAAAUGGGAGGAAAACAAGCCAAAUAUUAAUGAUGUGCUUACUGUCCCAUCCACAGGAAUAGGACAUAAGGAACGGAUGACAUUAUUUUUCAUGAGCCAGAAACAUAAAGAAAGUAUAGAAGAUUUGUGCAUAGAAGGAUGAACCUGUGAAAAAGGCAGCAAGAAGGUGGCCAUCUGCAAGCCAAAAAGAGAGGCCUCAGAGGACACCAACCCUACCAACAUCUAAUCUUGGACUUCCAGCUUCCAGAACUGUAACAAAAUAAAUUUCAGUUGCUUAAGCAAAAAAGAGAAAAGAAAUGAUAGAAGAAUGCCUAAGAAACUUACAGUAGCUGUUACGUGGGUUGGGUGUAGACAUAGAUGAAAGAAAACUUUUUAUUGAUACCUUCAUAUAUUUGGGGGCUAGGAACUAUGUGAGUUUAUAUAAAAUGUUUAUUAAAAUUUUUGUUUAAAUAAAAAAUGCUGAUUAAUGGAAAAGAACAUGAAGUUAGUGUCUCCAACUUAGCCCAUUCUUUCUCAUGACUACAGAGAACUGUUAUAGUUUGUGACAUAUGCUUCUAGAUUAUAUAUAUAUACUGAUUUCCAUUCAUCAAAAUAUAUAGAUGCAGUACUUUUAUUUUACCAGUAUUCUGGCUUUUAAUGAGAUCAUACUAUGCACAUUGUUCUAGAUUUUGCUUUUUGACUCAGCCGUAAAUGCUAGGCAACUUUGUUUGUAUACAUAGUACUGUGAUUAAACAUUUCCCAAGUGAUCAACAUUUAGGUUAUUUUUAAGUUUCCUACCACAAACAGUAACAAUAAAAAUAUUUGAAUAUGUGAAAUAUAU